UACGAGGGGGGCAAAUGUUGUUCGGAAUCACUGGGCGUAAAGGGAGCGUAGGCGGGUUCUUAAGUAAGGUGUUUAAUCCCGGGGCCCAACCCCGGACCGGCACUUUAAACUGGGAAUCUUGAAUAGUGGAGAGGUCGGUGGAAUUGGGGGUGUAGCGGUGGAAUGCGUAGAGAUCCCCAAGAACACCAGUUGCGAAGGCGGCCGACUGGACACAUAAUUGACGCUGAGGCUCGAAAGCAUGGGGAGCAAACAGG
rnacentral:rRNA from 1 species